rnacentral:rRNA from 1 species
GAUGAACGCUAGCGGGAGGCUUAACACAUGCAAGCCGAGGGAGAAGUUGUUUUUGGACUCCGGACACCGGCGGUCGGGUGUGUAACAUGUAUGCUACUUGCCUCUCUCCGUGUGAUAACCCGUGCUAACCCGGCCUAAUACCGCAUAACAAAUGGAUCAGCAUUGAUUUAUUUUAAAAGAUUCAUCUUAUCUAGAUAGGCAUGCGUAGGAUUAGUUAGUUGGUGAGGUAACGGCUCACCAAGACGAUGAUCCUUAGGGGGCCUGAGAGGGUGAUCCCCCACACUGGUACUGAGACACGGACCAGACUCCUACGGGAGGCAGCAGUGAGGAAGAUUGGACAAUGGGGGAGAGCCUGAUCCAGCCAUCCCGCGUGCAGGAAGACGGCCCUAUGGGUUGUAAACUGCUUUUAUACAGGAAUAAACCUACUCACGUGUGAGUAGUUGAAGGUACUGGAAGAAUAAGCAUCGGCUAACUCCGUG